AUCACACGCUGCAGUUGAUUAAACAUCUUGGAUAAAAUCGCCACAAAAUCAGGCCAAGCAAACAAUAAAUAGCCAUAAUGAUAAAAAGGAAGAAAAGGAUCCAUCCUACUGAGGAGGCAAAGUUAUACAUACAGUCUUCUACGGACAAGCCAGGGUUUAUAGAAAGAUUUAUCGAUAGUUGCAAAGGUGUGUUGGAUCGGGGAACAUCUACAACAUGCAGGACAGUAACAGUUGGACAUUUUUAGAAGAGGAGUAUUCGCUGCCCAGCCCAUUGAUCCAGGCACCUUUGUCUUGGAGUACAGAGGUGAGCUAAUAUCUGUGGAGGAAUGCCGGUCCAGAUGUUACUCAGAGAGAGAGAGUACAUUUCUCUUUGAAUUUGAAUGGCAGAAUCGUCGGUGGUGUAUUGAUGCAUCCAAAGAGGAUAAAUCCCUUGGAAGACUGGUUAAUGACAACCACAGAUGUCCAAACUGCACCAUGAAAAAAAUUGUGGUGAAUGGGAGACCACAUUUCUGCCUGUUUUCUGUAGUGAAAAUAGAAGUAGGGACUGAAAUUAAUUACAACUAUGGGGAUUCUAAAUGGCCAUGGCGUAAAAAAAUGACAAAGAUGCAGACCUCUGCAGGGACAGCUGAGACUGUGUUGUCCUCCACAGAGCAGCC